UAGGGAAUCUUCGGCAAUGGGGGGAACCCUGACCGAGCAACGCCGCGUGUGUGAAGAAGGUUUUCGGAUCGUAAAGCUCUGUUGUUAAGGAAGAACGAGUGUGAGAAUGGAAAGUUCAUGCUGUGACGGUACUUAACCAGAAAGGGACGGCUAACUACGUGCCAGCAGCCGCGGUAAUACGUAGGUCCCGAGCGUUGUCCGGAUUUAUUGGGCGUAAAGCGAGCGCAGGCGGUUAGAAAAGUCUGAAGUGAAAGGCAGUGGCUCAACCAUUGUAGGCUUUGGAAACUGUUUAACUUGAGUGCAGAAGGGGAGAGUGGAAUUCCAUGUGUAGCGGUGAAAUGCGUAGAUAUAUGGAGGAACACCGGUAGCGAAAGCGGCUCUCUGGUCUGUAACUGACGCUGAGGUUCGAAAGCGUGGGUAGCAAACAGG
rnacentral:rRNA from 1 species